GACGAACGCUGGCGGCGUGCUUAACACAUGCAAGUCGAGCGGUAAGGCCUUUCGGGGUCCACGAGCGGCGAACGGGUGAGUAACACGUGGGUGAUCUGCCCUGCACUUCGGGAUAAGCCUGGGAAACUGGGUCUAAUACCGGAUAUGACCUCCUAUCGCAUGGUGGGUGGUGGAAAGAUUUAUCGGUGCAGGAUGGGCCCGCGGCCUAUCAGCUUGUUGGUGGGGUAAUGGCCUACCAAGGCGACGACGGGUAGCCGACCUGAGAGGGUGACCGGCCACACUGGGACUGAGACACGACCCAGACUCCUACGGGAGGCAGCAGUGGGGAAUAUUGCACAAUGGGCGAAAGCCUGAUGCAGCGACGCCGCGUGGGGGAUGACGGCCUUCGGGUUGUAAACCUCUUUCAGCAGGGACGAAGCGCAAGUGACGGUACCUGCAGAAGAAGCACCGGCUAACUACGUG
rnacentral:rRNA from 1 species